rnacentral:rRNA from 1 species
CAUUUAAAGAGUGCGUAACAGCUCACUAGUCGAGGAGUUUGGCGUGGAUAAUAAUCGGGCAUUAAGUAUUCUACCGAAGCUUUGGGAUGUGUAAACAUCGGUAGGGGAGCAUUCCACUCGGCGUUGAAGGUGAGGCGUGAGCCUUGCUGGAGCGUGUGGAAAAGCAAAUGUAGGUAUAAGUAACGAUAAAGGGGGUGGGAAACCCCCUCGCCGAAAGACUAAGGUUUCCUGAUCAACGCUAAUCGGAUCAGGGUAAGUCGGGUCCUAAGGCUCAGCCGAACGGCGAGGCCGAUGGCAGAACCGGUUAAUAUUCCGGUACUACCUGUGGGAGUGACGUGGAGACGGAGUCGUGACAGCGCCGCGGACUGACGGAAUAGUCCGUUGAAGGGUGUAGAUGCUGAUUGUUCCAGGCAAAUCCGGAGCAAGAGUCGAACCUGAUAGUAUGGAGCGUUCUUAGAACAAUCCAAUAGUGCGUGUAAUCAUACUUCCAAGAAAAUCCGCUAAACUUAAUCCUGCAGGUACCCGUACCGCAAACGGACACACGUAGUCGGGUUGAAUAUACUAAGGCGCUUGAGUGAUUCACGGUUAAGGAACUAGGCAAACUGACCCUGUAACUUCGGGAUAAAGGGUCCUCGCUUAACGGCGAGGCGCAGAGAAUAGGUCCAGGCAACUGUUUAACAAAAACACAGGGCUGUGCAAAAUUGAAAGAUGAAGUAUACAGCCUGACACCUGCCCGGUGCUGGAAGGUUAAGAGGAGAUGUCAUCGCAAGAGAAGCAUUGAAUUGAAGCCCCAGUAAACGGCGGCCGUAACUAUAACGGUCCUAAGGUAGCGAAAUUCCUUGUCGGGUAAGUUCCGACCUGCACGAAUGGUGUAAUGAUCUGGACGCUGUCUCAACCGUGAGCUCAGUGAAAUUGUAGUAUCGGUGAAGAUGCCGAUUACCCGCGAUGGGACGAAAAGACCCCGUGAACCUUUACUAUAGCUUAACAUUGAAUUUGGGUAAUUGAUGUGUAGGAUAGGCCGGAGGCUUCGAAGCGGGCACGCCAGUGUCCGUGGAGCCGCUGUUGAAAUACGGCCCUUUGAUUAUUUGAGUUCUAACCCGUUGUUGCGGGGACACUGUUUGGUGGGUAGUUUGACUGGGGUGGUCGCCUCCAAAAGUGUAACGGAGGCUUCUAAAGGUGCCCUCACGACGAUUGGUAACCGUCGGCAGAGUGUAAUGGCAUAAGGGCGCUUGACUGGGAGACUAACAAGUCGAUCAGGUAGGAAACUAGAGCAUAGUGAUCCGGUGUUUCCGUAUGGAAGGGACAUCGCUCAAAGGAUAAAAGGUACUCCGGGGAUAACAGGCUGAUCCCUCCCAAGAGCUCAUAUCGACGGAGUGGUUUGGCACCUCGAUGUCGGCUCGUCACAUCCUGGGGCUGGAGAAGGUCCCAAGGGUUGGGCUGUUCGCCCAUUAAAGUGGCACGCGAGCUGGGUUCAGAACGUCGUGAGACAGUUCGGUCUCUAUCUAUCGUGGGCGCAUGAAAUUUGCGUGGCUCUGACACUAGUACGAGAGGACCGUGUUGGACUGACCUCUGGUUUACCGGUUGUGCCGCCAGGUGCAUUGCCGGGUAUCUAAGUCGGGAUUGGAUAAGUGCUGAAAGCAUCUAAGUACGAAGCCAGCCACAAGAUUAGAUUUCUCAGGGUCGUUGUAGACUACAACGUUGAUAGGAUGCAGGUGUACAGGCAGCGAUGUCAUAGCCGAGCAUUACUAAUUGCCCGUCCACUUUUU